ensembl:lncRNA
GGGCUGUGGGGCAGGCAAUGCUAUGGGGCAGGGAGUGCUGUGCUAUGGGGCAGGCGAUGCUAUGGGGCUGACAAUGCUAUGGGGCAGGCGAUGCUAUGGGGCUGUGGGGCAGGCGAUGCUUUGGGGCAGGCGAUGCUAUGGGGCUGUGGGGCAGGCAAUGCUAUGGGGCAGGCGAUGCUAUGGGGCUGACGAUGCUAUGGGGCAGGGAGUGCUGUGCUAUGGGGCAGGCGAUGCUAUGGGGCUGACAAUGCUAUGGGGCAGUCGAUGCUAUGGGGCUGUGGGGCAGGCGAUGCUAUGGGGCAGGCGAUGCUAUGGGGCUGUGGGGCAGGCAAUGCUAUGGGGCAGGGAGUGCUGUGCUAUGGGGCAGGCGAUGCUAUGGGGCUGACAAUGCUAUGGGGCAGGCGAUGCUAUGGGGCUGUGGGGCAGGUGAUGCUAUGGGGCUGUGGGGCAGGCAAUGCUAUGGGGCAGGGAGUGCUGAGCUAUGGGGCAGGAGAUGCUAUGGGGCAGGCGAUGCUAUGGGGCAGGGAGUGCUGUGCUAUGGGGCAGGCGAUGCUAUGGGGCUGACAAUGCUAUGGGGCAGGCGAUGCUAUGGGGCUGUGGGGCAGGUGAUGCUAUGGGGCUGUGGGGCAGGUAAUGCUAUGGGGCAGGGAGUGCUGUGCUAUGGGGCAGGCGAUGCUAUGGGGCUGUGGGGCAGGCAAUGCUAUGGGGCUGGGAGUGCUGUGCUAUGGGGCAGGCGAUGCUAUGGUGCUGUGGGUCGCGAUG